UGCGACCCAGUUCUUCUACAUGAGACGAUCAGCGUGAAUGAACGGAGUGUCCGAUCAGCGAUCAGACAAAAUUUCUGGUCUGAUCGGAACGCGCCUAAGAGAACCGUGCUUGUUUAUCAGCAACUUUCGAGAAAUUCCUUUUCAAAAAUAGCCAACGGUCGUUUUUACGAAGCUUCCCUCCAAAACUUUGGCUUGGCGUCAGUUGGAGAGAAGACCUGGACCUGUGCGGAUGUAUUGCUCCUGUUUGUAAAAUUUCAAACAAUUUAAAAAGAAAACUGCCCCUGAGAUCGAAUUCAAAUUCCACGCACUGAAGAAAAAUCUCAUGAGUUAAUUCAGCUGCUGCCAAGCUAUGAGUCCUCCCUGAAUGCAGUGCUACGCAGCGGCUCAAAAUUGGAACAAGAAUGCUCAAAGAAACUAACUUUAAAAAAGAAAUUUUCACUGAUUCGCAAACCACAAGAACCAAACUGCAUCCGGCCGGGAUGGACAACAUCAAAAUUUCAUCCCACCAGGAUACUAAAACUGAGGAUCAACCUUUUAAGAGUGAUGAGUCCAUUUUCUUUCUUUGAAAUUUGAAUUCCGCAAAUUUAGCUUGAUAUGAUAUUGUUAAAUUUAAAGGAAUUAUGCCAGAAUUGAAUAGCAUAAAAAAUGAGCCAGAGUAGCAUUUUUUUUAAAUUUAUUGUAAAAGAGACUAAUAAUACGUCACAUAAAAUUCUUGAGCAUGACGACAAGCUGAAGAAACUUGUCAAACUUUUGUGCCAUUAAUUAUUUGUUAAUUUGAUUUUUGACUAUGUAUAACAAAUAAAUUUUAUAUUCUGUACUUUGUACUCCUAAAUAAAAAAUAUGAA